rnacentral:rRNA from 1 species
CCUACGGGGAGCAGCAGUGAGGAAUAUUGGUCAAUGGACGAGAGUCUGAACCAGCCAAGUAGCGUGAAGGAUGACUGCCCUAUGGGUUGUAAACUUCUUUUAUAUGGGAAUAAAAUGUUCCACGUGUGGGAUUUUGUAUGUACCAUAUGAAUAAGGAUCGGCUAACUCCGUGCCAGCAGCCGCGGUAAUACGGAGGAUCCGAGCGUUAUCCGGAUUUAUUGGGUUUAAAGGGAGCGUAGGUGGAUUGUUAAGUCAGUUGUGAAAGUUUGCGGCUCAACCGUAAAAUUGCAGUUGAAACUGGCAGUCUUGAGUACAGUAGAGGUGGGCUGAAUUCGUGGUGUAGCGGUGAAAUGCUUAGAUAUCACGAAGAACUCCGAUUGCGAAGGCAGUUCACUGGACUGCAACUGACACUGAGGCUCGAAAGUGUGGGUAUCAAACAGGAUUAGAUACCCCUGUAGUC